rnacentral:rRNA from 1 species
CAUGGCUCAGGACGAACGCUGGCGGCGUGCUUAACACAUGCAAGUCGAACGGAAAGGCCCUGCUUUUGUGGGGUGCUCGAGUGGCGAACGGGUGAGUAACACGUGAGUAACCUGCCCUUGACUUUGGGAUAACUUCAGGAAACUGGGGCUAAUACCGGAUAGGAGCUCCUGCUGCAUGGUGGGGGUUGGAAAGUUUCGGCGGUUGGGGAUGGACUCGCGGCUUAUCAGCUUGUUGGUGGGGAAGUGGCUUACCAAGGCUUUGACGGGUAGCCGGCCUGAGAGGGUGACCGGCCACAUUGGGACUGAGAUACGGCCCAGACUCCUACGGGAGGCAGCAGUGGGGAAUAUUGCACAAUGGGCGGAAGCCUGAUGCAGCAACGCCGCGUGCGGGAUGACGGCCUUCGGGUUGUAAACCGCUUUCGCCUGUGACGAAGCGUGAGUGACGGUAAUGGGUAAAGAAGCACCGGCUAACUACGUGCCAGCAGCCGCGGUGAUACGUAGGGUGCGAGCGUUGUCCGGAUUUAUUGGGCGUAAAGGGCUCGUAGGUGGUUGAUCGCGUCGGAAGUGUAAUCUUGGGGCUUAACCCUGAGCGUGCUUUCGAUACGGGUUGACUUGAGGAAGGUAGGGGAGAAUGGAAUUCCUGGUGGAGCGGUGGAAUGCGCAGAUAUCAGGAGGAACACCAGUGGCGAAGGCGGUUCUCUGGGCCUUUCCUGACGCUGAGGAGCGAAAGCGUGGGGAGCGAACAGGCUUAGAUACCCUGGUAGUCCACGCUGUAAACGGUGGGUACUAGGUGUGGGGUCCAUUCCACGGGUUCCGUGCCGUAGCUAACGCUUUAAGUACCCCGCCUGGGGAGUACGGCCGCAAGGCUAAAACUCAAAGGAAUUGACGGGGCCCCGCACAAGCGGCGGAGCAUGCGGAUUAAUUCGAUGCAACGCGUAGAACCUUACCUGGGUUUGACAUGGAUCGGGAGCGCUCAGAGAUGGGUGUGCCUCUUUUGGGGUCGGUUCACAGGUGGUGCAUGGCUGUCGUCAGCUCGUGUCGUGAGAUGUUGGGUUAAGUCCCGCAACGAGCGCAACCCUUGUUCACUGUUGCCAGCACGUUAUGGUGGGGACUCAGUGGAGACCGCCGGGGUCAACUCGGAGGAAGGUGGGGAUGACGUCAAGUCAUCAUGCCCCUUAUGUCCAGGGCUUCACGCAUGCUACAAUGGCUGGUACAGAGAGUGGCGAGCCUGUGAGGGUGAGCGAAUCUCGGAAAGCCGGUCUCAGUUCGGAUUGGGGUCUGCAACUCGACCUCAUGAAGUCGGAGUCGCUAGUAAUCGCAGAUCAGCAACGCUGCGGUGAAUACGUUCCCGGGGCUUGUACACACCGCCCGUCAAGUCAUGAAAGUUGGUAACACCCGAAGCCGGUGGCCUAA